rnacentral:rRNA from 1 species
GCCCUAGUAACGGCGAGUGAAGCGGCAACAGCUCAAAUUUGAAAUCUGGCUCUCGGGCCCGAGUUGUAAUUUGUAGAGGAUGAUUUUGGCGCGGUGCCUUCCGAGUUCCCUGGAACGGGACGCCUUAGAGGGUGAGAGCCCCGUACGGUUGGACACCAAGCCUCUGUAAAUCUCCUUCGACGAGUCGAGUAGUUUGGGAAUGCUGCUCUAAAUGGGAGGUAAAUUUCUUCUAAAGCUAAAUACCGGCCAGAGACCGAUAGCGCACAAGUAGAGUGAUCGAAAGAUGAAAAGCACUUUGAAAAGAGGGUUAAAUAGCACGUGAAAUUGUUGAAAGGGAAGCAUUUACUACCAGACCUCUGCCCUGCGGAUCAUGUGGUGUUCUCACCGCUGCACUUCGCUUGGUUUAGGCCAGCAUCGGUUUUUGUAGGGGGAUAAAAGCCUUAGGAACGUAGCUCCCUCGGGAGUGUUAUAGCCUUUUGCAUAAUACCCUUACGGGGACCGAGGACCGCGCUUCGGCAAGGAUGCUGGCAUAAUGGUAGUCAAUGACCCGUCUUGAAACACGGACCAAGGAGUCGAACAUUUGUGCGAGUGUUUGGGUGUUAAACCCUCACGCGUAAUGAAAGUGAACGUAGGUGAGAGCCCUUACGGGUGCAUCAUCGACCGAUCUUGAUGUCUUCGGAUGGAUUUGAGUAAGAGCAUAACUGUUCGGACCCGAAAGAUGGUGAACUAUGCGUGGAUAGGGUGAAGCCAGAGGAAACUCUGGUGGAGGCUCGCAGCGGUUCUGACGUGCAAAUCGAUCGUCAAAUCUGCGCAUGGGGGCGAAAGACUUAUCGA